rnacentral:sRNA from 1 species
CAAUAAUGAGUUCGUUACGCGUGGUAUCUGGAGGAUAAAGAUAAACCGUUCUGCUCAGGUUCAGACUCCGGCAGGCCUGACUGAUACUGAGUCCGAUCGUCGUUAUCAGGUGAGUGACCUGCUCACGCUUAAAGACUGGUUUU